CAGGUCACCUCAAGGAAGCUUAGAUGGAAGACGCUCCACUGAUAGUGAACACUCAAAUGACAUCGUCUUUAGCAGAAGUGUCCACUUAAACAGGUUCGACAACCAAUAGCAGAAAAAUCUGUUUGAUAUCAUUGAAGUUGGCCAGAAUUCUAAAAUAUCACCUUAUGAUGAAGAAGAAACUGCACGACAUCUGAGCACUGAAGGAAAAUAUGAUGAGCCCAGUGGAAUGGUUGCAAGGUGAUGAAAAUGAAAUUGAAGGAGACAACAAAAUAUUAGAUCUCCAUGUAUCCAGCGAAACUGUCAGCGGUGAUAACAUAAAUCAUCUAGGCAAAGAACAAAAGCUUUGCUCACAAGUUGAGCAAACUGAAACUUGUAUGAGUGAUGUUGAGGAUGAAUUGAGGACCUCACAUAGUGACAACAGUGGAGCAAAAUCCUGAAGCAGUAAGGAUUUGUAGAAGCAGCAUGAAAAUAUUGGAGACACACAACAAGGAUAUUUGGGUCAAACAGAUGAUUUGCAAAGGCCUCAAAGAGAACACAAGUCUCAUCAAAUAGAUGGUGAUGGUUGGGAUGCUAGAGAAGACAUAAACAGAAAACAGUUGGCUUACAGAGGUCGGAAAGAUACUUGUCACUCGUACAGAAAUUAGGAUCCUCUUUCUGCACACCCUGUCGAGAUAGAAGUUCGGAGCAGACAAAGGAUACAGAAGCUUCUGUUGGUGUUUGGUAGAGAAGAGAGGCUAAUUUAUUUGCAGAGUCAAAGAGUUAAAGAUAAAGGCGCUAAGUGGGAGAGCAGUGAAGAAAUAAUGUAGAGGCACAAGAGUAAAUUAAGGGCCAGUGUCAGGAAUCUAAGAGAUGAUCUUCACUCAGGAAAAAAUGUGGGUGGUGAAGAAUGGAGAGGGCAUAAUAGAGAUGAAGCCUAGAGAGAGGGAUGAUCUUUUGACAGGUCAUCAUGAAAAUGUAGACUAUGCAUUCAUCAAGAGGAAAAAGGAUGAAGUGAGAGGGAAGACUGACAAGCAAGAUACCAUGCAUGCUUAUAGGGCUAGGGAAGACAAAAGAAAAGAGAAAGGGAUGAAGUCAAAAAUCAUAGAAGAGAAGAUAGUAAUAGUAUGAGGAAUAAAACUGAUGCUGCUAAGCACAAAGACUAUAGAUGCCAACUCAGGAGAGGGAGGACAGGAAGCUGACUUAAGCAACCUCAUAAAAGUGUACCAAAGCACCACAAAAGAGAAGAGGGUCAGCGUGCAUUGAAGAAUGAACAAGUUUUAGAUGAUACACCAUUGAGUAGGAACCAGAUAGAAGACUGCAGAAUGAGCAGUCUCGGGGAUGAGAUUGUCCAAGAAAUGAAAAAUGUCUUAUGACAUGAGGGACGUGGAGAUCAGUUGGCACCUGAAAAGCCAUUUAGGUGCUUCUACUGGAUAAGGCACACAGAAAACACAAAGAAGGUUCAAGGUACCAAAGUUUAUGAACACAACAGUUAUGGAGUUGGCAAGAGAAAACCUUAAAACCACAGUGCUCACAGGAACAUGAAGGUGAGCAUGAUGGGCUCAGAUGAGCAAGAAAGCAGCAAUGUGAAGAAUGGUCAUCAACCAAUUCAUGAACAACUAGAGGCUCCUCAACUGCACCUCACUUUGGAACAUGGAGAAAAAGAUCCAGAGCAUCAGGUGUGAGUCUCAACAUAGUUCUAGCCUCUAGGAGAGGGCGAUCCUAAUUAGAGCUUUCGACCUGCCACAAGUAGUGGGGUUUUUGUUCCACUGAAAACAUGUGUGUAUCAUCUGCAUCUUGAAGGCCUAAGGAGAUCAAGACCCUAAUGUAGAUGUUGUCCAGGCAGAUGAAUCAGCUAAAAGCGAAGGUAACUAGAAUGCUGCUGCUUUAGAUGACAAAGAUGCUGAUACAACACUGGUGGAUAAGAGGGUCGAGGAUAGGAAUCUCCACCCUGACAAUGUGGCGAAGCAAAUGUUUCAAACUUCCUAUGCCAGGGGAAAGAGAGAUGAAUCUGAGCAGAGAUUUAGAGACCGAAGUCCAGACAUUGCAUUUCUGAUACCGCCAUUGAUACAGAAGUAAAGCCAGAGGGACCUGCUAAAAAAUGCAGUGGGCUGGCAGUCGAGCUGUUCAAGGAGGAGCUGUAUGGAAUCUCAUGGUUUAUUGCAUGGUUCAUGCCAACAGUCUUUCAAGGAGGCAGGUGGAAGACUUGGGGCUUCUGAAACACCUCCCAACCUUCCUGAAUUCUGUUUAUUACAGGCUUCGACCAACGACUGAUCUGGCAUUUGAAGAAGCAUUUGAGCUUCUCAGAGGGAAGCUUCAAGCUGUCAUGGAAUCUAUUACCUGCUUUGAUUUCCUGGUUCUGUAAGCCUCGCUGAAAGCCCAACAACGAACAUUCUUGACAUGUUUAUAGAAGAAACUACAUGU